rnacentral:rRNA from 1 species
UACGUAGGGUCCGAGCGUUGUCCGGAAUUACUGGGCGUAAAGAGCUCGUAGGUGGUUUGUCGCGUCUGCUGUGAAAACCCGAGGCUCAACCUCGGGCCUGCAGUGGGUACGGGCAGACUAGAGUGCGGUAGGGGAGAAUGGAAUUCCUGGUGUAGCGGUGGAAUGCGCAGAUAUCAGGAGGAACACCGAUGGCGAAGGCAGUUCUCUGGGCCGUAACUGACGCUGAGGAGCGAAAGUGUGGGGAGCGAACAGG